rnacentral:tRNA from 1 species
GGGGGCAUGGUUCAGUGGUAGAAUGUUUGUCUCCAAAACAAACGACCAAGGUUCGAUUCCUUGUGCCCCCG